rnacentral:rRNA from 1 species
AGUGAAUAGAUACCCGGGUAGUCCCAGCCGUAAACGAUGCUCGCUAGGUGUCAGGCAUGGCGCGACCGUGUCUGGUGCCGCAGGGAAGCCGUGAAGCGAGCCACCUGGGAAGUACGGCCGCAAGGCUGAAACUUAAAGGAAUUGGCGGGGGAGCACAACAACGGGUGGAGCCUGCGGUUUAAUUGGACUCAACGCCGGACAACUCACCGGGGGCGACAGCAAUAUGUAGGCCAAGCUGAAGACUUUGCCUGAAUCGCUGAGAGGAGGUGCAUGGCCGUCGCCAGUUCGUACUGUGAAGCAUCCUGUUAAGUCAGGCAACGAGCGAGACCCGUGCCCACUGUUACCAGCAUGUCCUCGGUAC